UUACCUACCGGCCUCCCGUCCCUCACGUCAUCCUCCGCGCCUCACACACACAGACACACACACACAUACACGCACACACCUUCCCUCUCCUUCCUCAUAACACACAUUUACCCACCCCACUCACUCCCUCCCCACACACACAUACACACAUGCACGCACACACACCUAUAAACUACCACCCCCACACGUACACACACGAACGCAGUAGUCUUUACGUUGGCAGUGAGCGAUAACGGGGCGGGACGCGCGAUGCGGCCUGGAUACUGACUCAGGGAGGCGGUGGCGUCCCGUGAGGAAAACUAUUUUCAUAGCCACAAGGGUCCCUCGUAGGCUGCUGGACCCCGCUCUUGGCCAAGGGUCACUUAAACAUUAUGUUUGGGUUCUUCAAAAACAAAGCAAAAGACAAAGUUGUUAACAAAGAUAAAAACAGUGACAGUGUUAAGGAAAAGAAGAAAGACAAGACCAAUAAGGAAGACAAAGAAGUGAAAGUCAGUGUUCGCAAAGGGAAGGAGGAAAAGGCUUCUAAAUCAAUCUUCAGGAAAAGUAAAUCCAUCGAGCGAUCGAAAGAAGGGAACGAGAACCGAGCUUCAUUUGCCAGGAAGAGCCAGAGCCUUGACUCACGAGACUCUGGAGAGUGGAGCGACCAUGAGGAGCUGUCACGGCAGGACAGUGGGGCCACCGAAAGCGAGGAGGCUGCACUGUCACCAGGACCCACCGGAACCGGCAGCAGUUCCGAGGAAGCAGCCCGCCCCUCCUCGCCCUGUCCCGACGCUGACACACGCGCCAGUGAUGGGAACGGUCUCAAAAAUUCAGAUUCUUUUGGAUCCUCUGUUUUGACUGACUCUUUAACAUCAUCACAGGAGGGAGAGGUGCAGGCGGGCACUGAGGGCCUCGACGAGCGGAAACAUGAAAAACAUUCGCCAGAAGUACAACUGAAGAAUCAAACGAACAGUAGUUUAGUUUUCUCCAAAGUUACCGGCCAACCACGGUAUCCGAGGACCGAAGCUACGAACUCAACGAACUCAUCAGUGAAAAGCAACGCUCAAUCCGCUGCAUCGACGGCCACGCCUCCCCCCAGACUGGGAGGAGUUGCAUCCACCUUGAUGAUGAAGCCACCUCUCAACCCGCGAUUGGUGGCGCCAAGGGGACCUCUGGCCACCACUGUUACGUCUUUCACUGCUUCGCUGAUGGAAUCUGGCGGGGAAAAAGACGAAAGGAGCCUCACACCUUCCCCUGGCAUGGUGACGCCGCCUGCCUCGCCGGGUCUCCUGUCCACGCAAGUCGCCUCCCUUCACCAGAAUGUCACUAUUUCUCCCGAGCGACCAACGUCCCCAGAUGGCCGAACUUCAAUGCUCUCCACUCCCUCCAGCUCCACCUCCAGUCUCUCUAGCCUCACUGCCCGGCCGAUAUCUCCUUCGGGACGACGCACGCCCCCGGGGCCCCGUAUGGGCACUGGCGGCAGACUGACGUCAUCCCCAACGGCCAACCGAAAGUCUGUCAGGACAAACAUCAAAACUAAUCCGUCGGUGGCGUCCCGAAGGGCAGGUUCCCACUCCCCAGUCAACUCGCCGCCUUCCCCAGGGGCAUCUACCUCCUACACUGAAGCUGACAGCCUCAAGACCCCGCCGUCUUCACCAGUCCCAGUGCGGCACAGGUUUUCUGAGCAAGUGGCUCCAGCAGGCUCCGCUGAAGUGAGCCUCCUCGCUCGAACCCCAACAGAGCUCACAUCGAGGCUGGUAACAUUUUCUCCACCAAUCGCUCGAAGAGGAAUUGAUCCAUCAAUAAUCCCAUCCCAGAGUAAUAACUCGCUACCUUCACCACCUGCGAGGCUCGUGCAAGGCUCCUCGCCGCCGCCGCCGCCACCUAGACUCAGUGGAUGCAGUGACGGGAAGUCCGAGGGAAGCAGUAGUCCUGCAACCCAGCGUAGCGUCUCCCCGACCGUUGGGAAGACCCGCCACUCUAUAUCGUCGAUGCACUCCCUCGAGUCAAUCCCCGAAAACGACAGUGAUGGACAGUCGCCCGUUACUGGUGAAAAAACCUUCGAUGGGGAUGGAGAGUUGUGUCGCGAGACGCUCAGCACCCCGAGCACCCCCAAGGAACCUCUGAACUCCAGCACGACGCGUCCGUCGCGCCAUUCUGCCCCGGAGGUCACUCCUGAGAGACCGCACAACCACGGCGUCACUCACAGGAGGACCUCGUCGUUGUCACCAGUAAGUGAAGAACGACGAAUUCACUUUUCAGUGUCGAUAAGUGAAACGAAGAAUGUCUCCUCCAGCCCUCCACAGAACCAGGCACGUCAGAACAGUACACUCGAUGCUGAUGCAGAGAAAGUAGCCUCUGAAAAGACUCCUUCAAAACCAGGAAGCUGCGAAGACAUCAAGCCAAGAGAGAACAAGGAGAAUAAAGAGGUUUCCAAAGAAAUUGCCAGUUCCGAACCAAAUUUAAUUAUAAAGGAAAAGGUUCUCUCGUCGUCCCCAAAAGAAGGUACCAGCGAGAUGACGCCUAGUAACACUCCCACGACCAAACAUUCGAGAACUGGAUCCUUGGCGAUGGUCACUGACGCCCCCGUGAAAGGCACUCCACAAGAAAAUGAAACUGAAGAAAUCAAAGAUGACAAAAUUACUCCGGUUACUGAAAAUAAUAAAAUGUCAGCAGCGGUCCGUACCAGCGACAAGGAGAACGAAACAACGACUCACGUGGUGUUCCGGAUACCAUUCCGCAGCAAAUCUCUGGCUAACGGGGAGGACUUGCACCAAAGAGCUUCCGUAGAAAUUUUACCCCGCGAGGCAGGGAGGUCGAAGCGACGGGAAAAGGAACACUGCAGAGAAAGACCGAGAUCAGUAUCGACCUCCAGAGAACUCAGGAGAGAGAGAGCGUUAGAACGACCGUCGAGGAAACGAAUACAGUCUGAGGGCACCGAGAGUAAGAAUAAGCUCCCCACGGCUCCAGAGGAUGAAGGAAAGAAGGAAGAGACCAAAGAGAGGAUCCGAUGCCGAUCCUCUUCCUCCAGGCGCAGCAAGGAUCUCAGCCCGGACCAGACAUUUACUGAAUCUUCCCUUUUCACCAACGAGAACGACAGUUACGACGGUGGUGAUGAAGAAGUUGUCAUUCCAUGGAGAAAAGCUCCCAGAAGUAGGUCGAGGGCUAUAAAAUCGCAGAGUUCGGGUGAUGCAGCGACACUCGUGUCUGAAAAUCGGCAAGUCAGCACCUUAGACAAAGUGGAGAGGACACAGAGUGGGCCACCUACGGAGUUUCCUAGUAGUGAAAAAAAUUCUACAGCGGUCACUGCCCCGCCGCGCCAACGGUCCAAAUCACGCGGGCCGGAGCGAAGGAUGACUAGGUCAGUGACGCUGAGUGAGCUCAAGCAAGCUGAUGGAACCAAAUCGAAGUCCCCGGAACCCAAGCUUCAGCGGCGAGCCAGGUCUUCCUCCAGACUACAGGAAAUCCCGCGCCGCGCUCCAGACGACACGCUUGACACCGAGAAAGCAACUCAGGACGGAGGUGAGGUGCCGCAACGUAGGAGAGUUGCCACUAAGAGGAGGAGUAUGAGUGCUCGUAGGGAAGGAGAGGAAGGUGUAAGGCGAUCAACGGCAGACACUUUAAGACUGUGUGGCGAAGGAUCGAAAAUAAUCAGCAGCAAAGAAUCGCAUCAUCUCAAUAAUUUGAAAACGAAAAGUGAUGUACCAAUACUGAGUAAAAGGAAUCCGGUGAGUAAGAAAACGGAAGACACCAAAAGCACCAAUACAGACCAGAAAUGCUCGUGCAAAAAGACUGUGGAGACCAGAAAUGUAGAAUUGCAGACUUCAGCGGCUGAGGUGGAGUCCAGCCUCUGCCAAACGGAGAAAGACCUUGAGCUCCGUUUUAGCCAACAGGACCUGGAAGAGCACACCAGGAAGGAGCUCGGGGCGCAAGAGGAACGCUACCAGAAGCAGAUCGACGAGUUAACGUUGUUGCUUGCGGAGAAACAGGAGGAGGUCAGCAAACUUGGCCAGACGCUGGAGACUCUGAAGGGCGUGCAGGAGACCCUCGCCAACACUGAGGAGCUGCAGGAGAAGUUGUCACUCUUGCAGCAGGAUGUGAGGGACAGGAACGCCCAGCUUGACUGCGCCAGGACGGAGUUGGAGACCUCGAAGGGCGAGAUGGAGCUGACGAAGACGAAACUCAAGAAACUGGAGGAGGAUUUGGAUGCCGCCCGCCAGAAGAACCUUGCCCUGCAGAACCAGAUCGCCGCUAAGACCAACUGCGACAAGACGGAGGAGCUGGAGACAAAGAUCAAGACGAUGGAGGAGACGCUGAAGAAGACCACGGAGGAGCGAGACCAGCUAGCCAAGACCAUUGACGAGACAGAGGCAGAGCGAGACGAGGAGAUCAAGAUUAUCCAAGAUGCACUGGACGAGGCCGCGCAGGAGAGAGAGGACCUGAUCUCCACGUUCGAGAAGGAGAUCCAGAACAUGACGACGAUGAAUUCCACCCGCGAGCAGCAGCUGAUGGAGGACUUCGAGUGGAAACUACGCGAGAUGGAGAAGGACCACAAGAAGAAGAUGGAGGAGCGCGAUAGGAAAGCUGAGGAGAGGAUUAGUGCGGUGAGGAACAUGGUGGAGUCGGAGUUGGCAGACUCUCUCAUUAAGGUGGCCGAGGACCGACGAGUCGCCGACGAGCAGCUGAUGGAGGUGGGUCAUCUGAAGAGCUACGAGGCGGAGGCCAUCCAGCUUCGCGGUGUGACCAACGAGCUGCAGAAGGCGCUGCGGGCCUCGGCGAGGGAAAUGGAACACCUCAAAGUGCGGGAGAAAAUUCUUGAGGAGGAAAUACGAGGCCUCAAGAAAGCACCCGCAUCCCGCCAGAGCACCCUUCAGCGGGCUAAGCGGCAGGCGGAGGAGACGGAGGCAGAAUUUAGGCAGAAACAGGAAAAGAUGAAGAAUGAACUCAACGCCGAGUGGGAGGACAAGUUGCGGUCUGAGUGCUCCCGGCUCAAGGCGGAGCUGGACGAGCUGCACGCUGAGGAGAAGCACCUCGCCGUGGAGUCCAUGAAGGUGCAGAAGGAGCAGGAGAUCAGAAAGCUCAAGCAGUCAUGGGAACUUCGCCAGGAGGAGAUGACCAAAGAGAUGUCAAAGCUCAAAGACAGCCUGACGGAGAAGGACGCUUACUACCACAAGGAGAUGGAGAACAUGAGAACCAACGCAGACAGGGACGUGUGGGAGCUCCGACGGAAGCUACAGCGUCUCGACGAGAAGAACUGGUCGGCACAGGAGCUGCUGCAGGAGAAACACCACGAGGAACUAGAGCGGAUUCGUGCGGACUACAAGGAACGCAUGUCAGACCUGGAGGCUCGACUGGAGGUGGCCAUGAAGGACUCAGACGAGGACGCGCGCCAGCAGGCAGAGAAGAUGCACAACGACGAGAUGGAGCACCUGUGUGAGCAGCACCGACUCAGCAUGGAGCGACUAAGGGAGGAGCUCGAAGCAGAGAAAUUCCAGGCGGUAGAGGAGGCGCGUGUGAUCGUGACCAAGCACCAUGAGUACGUGAACGCGGGUCUUCGGGAGCAGGUCACAGAGGCCACCAAUAACUGCACACAGUACCGCGAGGAGCUGGAGGCAGUCAAAUCCACCCUGGCGCUGAAGGAGGAGAUGAUCAAGACACUGGAGGAGGAGCUGGCGAGACUCAGGGAGGCGGAAGGAGUCCCUGCCGCCUCCUACAAGGACUCUCAGAGCUCCAUCGCCUCCUCAAGCGAGUCCACGUGCUCCCAAGGCUCAAACAACUCCCAGGACAGACUCAGUCUCUCAGAGUCAGUCGGUGCCUCGAUAGACAGUCAAGACGAGGCGCACAAAUCAGGUGGUAGCGGCCUCCUGGGCAAGAUGUUUGGAGGAAACUGGUUCAGCAGCUCCAAGACCAAGGAGAACAACAGGCGGGGGAGUGCCCCUGCCAAGCAGUCCUCGUGAAGCCCCGCUCAAGGCUCCGUGGGCUCUGUCCCUCACCCCGCGGGGCCACGCCCCACCUAACUCACGCCUCGGCUCAGCUGAGGGCGGCGCUGCGCUUUUUACGGCGCCCUGUUCUGCCCUCUUCCGCCCCUCCCCGCCCCGCCCUGCCUCACUCCGCCUCGGCAGGAGCAGAGGUACGAACCGAGGCUCGGAGGGGCUGGACAUCAUCACUCAUCACCGACGUCACCAGAUGUCUUCAUCCGCACAGAUUAUCACUACAGACUUCUGUCUAUCGAUAUAUUUUGCUGCUAUAAUUAUUUCUUUCAGUAUUUGGAGCACUUUGUAUUUUUCUAAGUUAAGUUAUUUCACGUAGAAACAUUUAAGUUACGUAGCGAGCAAGACUGUAGGCGCCCUCCGUGUGUAGGGUCAGCUGAGGUCAGCUCAACAUUGUAACCUCCCCCAAGUCCUCGCCUUCACACCGCGGGCACGGGUCCUCCAGGCGGGUAUGAGUCACAAAGGCCACAAAGGUCACAGGUGGUUUGGUAAAGGUAUCAGCGGCAUCAGCAGGGAUAUUCCAGCACCUCCAUGAAGUGCUGUCCCGGAGUAUUUACGCGUAGGUGACAAGACAAGACUCCCCCAGCUUUGUAGCGAAGCCGAGGGAGGUAGGGGAGAUCGGAGCCGCCUCGCCCCAGUACGGCGUGUUACUGUAGAGCAACACGCCGAGACACGAGGCACCGGAUGGCUAGCACACGUCCCCGAGGCCAGCCAGCGCUCACUCAGAAAGGAUCAUUAGUGAUGUGAAGUUUUCUGUCUCAGAGACACGCCACGCGUCUUCACAGAUCCAGUGCAGGAACCAGAGCCAGACGUGCAGUGUGACAAUAGCGCCGCACCACCACCGACCAGCAGCUGCUGGUGGGGACCGUUGUGCCUAGCCGGUGUCGGGGGAGCCUCCAGCGCUCGCCAGUGUCACCUUCACCUCUUGGAGCCAAUCAGAGGUGCCCUUGGUGGCGCCCUGAAGACUUGUGGAACCGCUGUAUCUCACGUCCAAGGUGACCUUAAACGUGUGUGUGUGUGUGUGUGUGUGUGUGUGUUGUAUACCAAGUUCAAGUACAUAAAUGGCCUACGUGCCGAGAAUGAAAGAAAGAUCGCCUAAGACAACGGAGAGCUAUAUUACGCAGUUGCCAUUUAAAAUGGUCUCAUCAGCCCACAUAGGGAGACGAGGCCCGGAGAUUCACUGUAACAGGCCCGCUGCCAACCCCGCGUGGGGCAGGACAGGUUGGGACGGAGGUACUAAACAAGUGUGUAUUUAGAGGGAAAAAAGAAACAAGGGAACGUAAGCUUCAUCGUUUUUAUAUUUACUACUAACUGUGUACUCACAAUAUAUAUUACUCCAAAAAUUUUCUACUUAGUUAUUGUCAAAAUUGAACGUUUCCAUUAUAUACUCCCCCUUUACCCGCCACAUUAACCCCACUCCCACGCUCCCUUUAGAGGUCUAUGGAUGCAAAAUACGCCAGUUUUGUAGGUUAUCUCGUUGAAUUUUCUCAAGUCUCUUAAUUGCUUAUAGGACGCCGGGGUCUCGCGGGAGGCUGGAGAGAGAUACUGUAUAGUUCUGUCCUAGAAAACAGCUCCUGUCGGGGACCCUUGGCUGUAGAGUCCGUGACCUGGGCGGGUCUUUAUAUAGCAGAGCGUCAGAUGGUUUAAAAGUGACGCUGUCCUUUCAUAGUGCUCUUAAAUAUGUGUUCCGGAAGGUCUUACAGUAUGUUCCGGGUGGCCUUCAGUAUGUGUCCGGUUAAGUGUGUAUCCGGUUGCCCUUACGUAUGUGUGCCGGAUCCCUUAAGUGUGUGUUCCGGAAGUGAUAGUCGCCAUACCUGGUUACCUGCAGCUCAUAUUAGUUAUCUGAGGCUUCACCAGGUACUCAAUAAGUUCUUUUUAUAAUGAUAUAAUAAAGAGAUAAUUUAAA